rnacentral:rRNA from 1 species
CUGGCCUUGACAUCCAGAGAACUUUCCAGAGAUGGAUUGGUGCCUUCGGGAACUCUGAGACAGGUGCUGCAUGGCCGUCGUCAGCUCGUGUCGUGAGAUGUUGGGUUAAGUCCCGUAACGAGCGCAACCCCUAUCCCUGGUUGCUAGCAGGUAAUGCUGAGAACUCCAGGGAGACUGCCGGUGACAAACCGGAGGAAGGUGGGGAUGACGUCAGGUCAUCAUGGCCCUUACGGCCAGGGCUACACACGUGCUACAAUGGCGCGUACAGAGGGCUGCCAACUCGCGAGAGUGAGCCAAUCCCUUAAAACGCGUCGUAGUCCGGAUCGGAGUCUGCAACUCGACUCCGUGAAGUUGGAAUCGCUAGUAAUCGCGAAUCAGAAUGUCGCGGUGAAUACGUUCCC